GAGAAGCACAAGGACUGGACUUUGACAGGAAGCAACGAGGCAAGAGGGAAGCUCGAGAACAGGUUUUGCUGAGGAUUCCCCCCAAGAAAAGUGCUCCCCGGGAGGCCGUUCCUGGCACCAAGACUGGCGGAGCCACCACACCCGUUAAAGGGAUCCACCUGGACAGCGAUCAGGCAAGCACCUCCAAGGAUCACGUAGGACCAGCAGAAGCAGCGUAAAGUAUUGGAACUUUGAAUCUGACAUCAGAAAGACCUGCACUCAGCCGGGCACGGUGGCUCACGAUUGUAAUCCCAGGCCGAGGCGGUGGAUCACUUGAGCGAGCUGAAAUUUACCAUAAUCCGGCUGAUGUUUAGACUGCACCCAUCGUUUUUUCCAUUCAUCUAUGAGUAAAGGAGAAAAAAAGAACGUAAAGACAAAAUGCAGCUAAUACUGACCAAGACUUACAGGAACGGUAAAGCCCUGUGAUGAAUGUCCUGUUUUUUCCUCAUUCAAAAGAUAGAGAAACAGAAGCUCAGAAUCUUGCCCAAAAGCCCAGUUAUGGAUUCUCACUCUGUUGCCCAGGCUGGAGUGCAGUGGUCCAAUUUCAGCUCACUGCAGCCUCUUCAGCAGAAUCUUGACCCUCUCUGAGAUUCAGUUUUUUCAUCUGUAGAAAUGGGGACCUAAGGUACAGAGUUUCUUCUGGGAGAAUUAAGUGAAACUGCAUGCAACACCAUGUUAGGCACACUAGAAGUGAUCAAUAAAUACUACUUGAGUAUUUGUGUGCAUAUGUAA